rnacentral:rRNA from 1 species
UACAGGGGGUGCAAACGUUGCUCGGAAUUAUUGGGCGUAAAGCGCGUGUAGGCGGUCCGGUAAGUCCGCUGUGAAAGUCGGGGGCUCAACCCUCGAAUGCCGGUGGAUACUGUCGGGCUAGAGUGCGGAAGAGGCGAGUGGAAUUCCUGGUGUAGCGGUGAAAUGCGCAGAUAUCAGGAGGAACACCAAUUGCGAAGGCAGCUCGCUGGGACGUGACUGACGCUGAGACGCGAAAGCGUGGGGAGCAAACAGG